AUGAGGUCCCAGCUGGGAUGGGCAGAAGUUCUGUCACUCUGCCACAGCACAACUGCACACCAUCCUUCAUGCCCCAGGGCUGUGAUAUUUAUUUCCAAUGACAGUUCAGCCUAUACUGCUUAUUUUUGUUUAAUAGUUGCAGUGGAGGGAUCGGGAAUUCAAAAUCAACGGGCAGAUCUACUUGAAUACUCACCCAUUUCCUGACACCUGACUUUUGUUCCACAUUUUUCACUCCUGCAGGAAACUGAGUGAUCACUGCCAUCUAUUGGUAACAAAUAAGCUAACAAUAGUGUCCUACUACGAUAAUGCACUAUAAAUUACAUAAUUUACCUGAAAUUUAACAUACUACAUAGUUAAAGAUGAUGAUAUAUCUUCUCAGCCUACCAUGUCUAAUGAUGAUUUUUUAGAAAAAAUUAUACUACAGCACAUGAAAUGUGCACUGUUUAUCCUAAUUUUCUUUGUGUUAUU
rnacentral:lncRNA from 1 species